AUACGGAGGAUGCAAGCGUUAUCCGGAUUUAUUGGGUUUAAAGGGUGCGUAGGCGGAUGAUUAAGCGUGAGGUGAAAUGCCACUGCUCAACAGUGGAACUGCCUCGCGAACUGGUUGUCUUGAAUGCUCCUGCCGUGGGAGGAAUGUGUGGUGUAGCGGUGAAAUGCAUAGAGAUCACACAGGACACCGAUUGCGAAGGCAUCUCACGAAGGGGUGAUUGACGCUGAGGCACGAAAGCGUGGGGAUCAAACAGGAUUAGAUACCCUGGUAGUCCACGCAGUAAACGAUGAUAACUAACCGCUGGGUCGUAGUGAUUCAGUGGCCAAGCGAAAGCGAUAAGUUAUCCACCUGGGGAGUACGACCGCAAGGUUGAAACUCAAAUGAAUUGACGGGG
rnacentral:rRNA from 1 species